GGUAAGUUCACAGUGAGUGAAAC
rnacentral:piRNA from 1 species